AUUGAACGCUGGCGGCAUGCUUUACACAUGCAAGUCGAACGGUAACAGGGAGCUUGCUCCGCUGACGAGUGGCGAACGGGUGAGUAAUAUAUCGGAACGUACCCAAGAGUGGGGGAUAACGUAGCGAAAGUUACGCUAAUACCGUAUACGAUCUAUGGAUGAAAGCAGGGGACCUUCGGGCCUUGUGCUCCUGGAGCGGCCGAUAUCUGAUUAGCUAGUUGGUGAGGUAAAGGCUCACCAAGGCGACGAUCAGUAGCUGGUCUGAGAGGACGACCAGCCACACUGGAACUGAGACACGGUCCAGACUCCUACGGGAGGCAGCAGUGGGGAAUUUUGGACAAUGGGCGCAAGCCUGAUCCAGCAAUGCCGCGUGAGUGAAGAAGGCCUUCGGGUUGUAAAGCUCUUUUGUCAGGGAAGAAACGGCUGUGGCUAAUAUCCACGGCUAAUGACGGUACCUGAAGAAUAAGCACCGGCUAACUACGUGCCAGCAGCCGCAGUAA
rnacentral:rRNA from 1 species